rnacentral:lncRNA from 1 species
CUCUCUCUACGUUCUCCAGUAGUCUUGAUCCUCUCUCUACAUCUCCAGUAUAUGAUCCUCCUUCUUUACCCUCUCCAGUAGUCUGUGAUCCUCCUCUCUACCGUUCUCCA